AGUCGCGUGGUCUAAUGGUCAUGAUUUCUCCUUUACAUUUAACUUGUUCAAUGAAACGGAGACGGUUCCGUGUUCGAUCCACGGCGUGACUA